GGUAGCAUGGCUAAAGUGGUAGAGUGCCUGCUUAGCAAGCAUGAGGCCCUAGGUUCAAACCCUAGUGUUGCCA